rnacentral:tRNA from 1 species
GCCUCCGUGGUCCAGUGGUUGAGCGUCGGGCUCAGGAUCCGGAGGCCCCGGGUUAGAAUCCCGGUCGGGGACA